GACGAACGCUGGCGGCGUGCUUAACACAUGCAAGUCGAACGAAGUGGCGAACGGGUGAGUAACGCGUAAUCAACUGCCCUUCAGAGGGGGAUAACUAUUGGAAACGAUAGCUAAUACCGCAUACUAGUAGAUGGACCUGCGUUGUAUUAGCUAGUAGGUAGGGUAAUGGCCUACCUAGGCGACGGUACAUAGCCGACCUGAGAGGGGGAUCGGCCACACUGGGACUGGGGAACGGGCCAGACUCCUACGGGAGGCAGCAGUAGGGGAUCUUCGGCAAUGGGGGGAACCCUGGCCGAGCAAAGCCGCGGGGGUGAAGAAGGUUUUCGGAUCGUAAAGCUCUGUUGUUAAGGAAGCGGUACUUAACCAGAAAGGGACGGCUAACUACGUGCCAGCAGCCGCGGUAAUUC
rnacentral:rRNA from 1 species